CAGUCGCCGCGGUAAUUCGUAGGUGGCAAGCGUUGUCCGGAAUUAUUGGGCGUAAAGGGCUCGCAGGCGGUUUCUUAAGUCUGAUGUGAAAGCCCCCGGCUCAACCGGGGAGGGUCAUUGGAAACUGGGAAACUUGAGUGCAGAAGAGGAGAGUGGAAUUCCACGUGUAGCGGUGAAAUGCGUAGAGAUGUGGAGGAACACCAGUGGCGAAGGCGACUCUCUGGUCUGUAACUGACGCUGAGGAGCGAAAGCGUGGGGAGCGAACAGGAUUAGAUACCCGAGUAGUCCCCUGUCUCUUAUA
rnacentral:rRNA from 1 species